CAGUCGCCGCGGUAAUACGAAGGGUGCAAGCGUUAAUCGGAAUUACUGGGCGUAAAGCGUGCGUAGGCGGUUUGUUAAGUCUGUUGUGAAAUCCCCGGGCCCAACCUGGGAAUGGCAAUGGAUACUGGCAAGCUAGAGUGUGUCAGAGGAUGGUGGAAUUCCCGGUGUAGCGGUGAAAUGCGUAGAGAUCGGGAGGAACAUCAGUGGCGAAGGCGGCCAUCUGGGACAACACUGACGCUGAGGCACGAAAGCGUGGGGAGCAAACAGGAUUAGAUACCCCGGUAGUCCCUGUCUCUUAUAA
rnacentral:rRNA from 1 species